GAUGACGUAGUGAAGAGUGACGUCAUCAAGGAUAAAAAGGAUGACAACGAAACAGUGUAUUCAGAAGUGAUAAAACAUCCUAAGAAACAACAAACAGAUGAAAAAAAAAGAAAAAGAAAAAGAAUGAAGAAAAGGAGUUGAAAGAAAACAAUGAAGAAGCGGGGACAUCUACCCGUAACGACAACUCACGUUCAACGAAUCAAGAUGGUUUAGUUUAUAUCGAUGUUGAAUUUGCGAGAAAGCUCCCAAGUUCAGACACAAAGGGGAGACCAGUCAUACACGGGGAGGAAGAGAAGACAGAGUACACGUUCGUGGAUUUCACCCAAAAAGCGCCGCCUGUACAGGAAUCGCAGGAAAAUGUCAAGUGAUCGUUUGUAGUGAGAUGUUAAAACAAGAAACAAUUCACAGAUGUGUACAUCUGAAUUUAUUGACGACAGAAUAAUCUUUUUUAUAUUUAUUGUUUUUUUUUUAAAUCUUGCAUUUCUUUGUCUGCUUGUAUUUAGAAUUGUGAAUUAGAUCAUCUAUUUUCAUCAUGGAUACCGAUAGAUAAUUGCAUAUAGACUGCAUAUAAUAUAUUUGCAUAUAAAUCUCCAUUAAAAAACAUUUUUUUUUAAUUAUGUGUCUAAAAGGAAGAAAAAUAAACAAAAUUUUCAUUUCAUUUUCAAAAACUGCAUUCUUCUUUACUUUACGCAUUUCUUCGCCCAUCGCUAGAAGUCCUGAAAGAUUAGAUCAUUUUACUUGAAUUGGGUAUGCAUGUGUUCAAGUAUAAGUAUUCAUCCACGUCUUUACAUGAAUUAUACUAAAAGAAACCAUUGC